rnacentral:rRNA from 1 species
UACAGAGGUCCCAAGCGUUGUUUGGAUUCAUUGGGCGUAAAGGGUGCGUAGGCGGCGCGGUAAGUCGGGUGUGAAAUCUCGGGGCUUAACUCCGAAACUGCAUUCGAUACUGCCGUGCUUGAGGACUGGAGAGGAGACUGGAAUCUACGGUGUAGCGGUGAAAUGCGUAGAUAUCGUAAGGAAGACCAGCGGCGAAGGCGGGUCUCUGGACAGUUCCUGACGCUGAGGCACGAAGGCCAGGGGAGCAAACGGG